rnacentral:pre_miRNA from 1 species
UCUUUGGUGACCGAUGUCCAGCGUCUUACCUGUUCAAUAUUUAGACUGAUUAGUUCAUGAGAUCUAAUACUGUCAGGUAAUGACGCUGGAUUAUCUUGUCAUUUAUGA